rnacentral:tRNA from 1 species
CGGGAUGUAGGGUAGCGGCGAACCCGUGUGUUUUGGGAACACAAGAUCGCAGGUUCGAGUCCUGCCAUCCCGA